rnacentral:tRNA from 1 species
GGGGCUAUGGCUCAGUGGUAGAGCACUUGCCUAGCAUGUGUGAGGCCCUGGGUUCGAUUCUCAGCACCA